UCGGGAAUUUUGGGCAAUGGGCGAAAGCCUGACCCAGCAACGCCGCGUGAGGGAUGAAGUAUUUCGGUAUGUAAACCUCGAAAGAAUGGGAAGAAUAAAUGACGGUACCAUUUAUAAGCUCCGGCUAACUACGUGCCAGCAGCCGCGGUAAUACGUAGGGAGCAAGCGCUGUUCGGAUUUACUGGGCGUAAAGGGCGCGUAGGCGGCGCGGUAAGUCACUUGUGAAAUCUCUGAGCUUAACUCAGAACGGCCAAGUGAUACUGCUGUGCUAGAGUGCGGAAGAGNCAACCGGAAUUCUUGGUGUAGCGGUGAAAUGCGUAGAUAUCAAGAGGAACACCUGAGGCGAAGGCGGGUUGCUGGGCCGACACUGACGCUGAUGCGCGAAAGCCAGGGGAGCAAACG
rnacentral:rRNA from 1 species